UUUAAUGAAACAUAUUAUCUACCAAUGGACAUCCAAGGGGGAGUGUUAUGAAUAUCUUAUUAAGUAGAUGUCCAGCAAGAUCAAGGUAAGUUUUAAUGUACUAUUCUAAUAGUCAUUAGAAGUAAAUCUCUACUUCAUUUAUACUUCUUAUGCCUAUAAAUAGAGACUUUGGAGAAGCUUUGUAAAUAUUUCGAUUGAUCAAUAAAAUACAUUCUCUCUUUG
rnacentral:lncRNA from 1 species